GACGAACGCUGGCGGCGUGCUUAACACAUGCAAGCCGAACGGAAAGGCCCUGCUUUUGUGGGGUGCUCGAGUGGCGAAAGGGUGAGUAACACGUGAGUAACCUGCCCUUGACUUUGGGAUAACUUCAGGAAACUGGGGCUAAUACCGGAUAGGAGCUCCUGCUGCAUGGUGGGGGUUGGAAAGUUUCGGCGGUUGGGGAUGGACUCGCGGCUUAUCAGCUUGUUGGUGGGGUAGUGGCUUACCAAGGCUUUGACGGGUAGCCGGCCUGAGAGGGUGACCGGCCACAUUGGGACUGAGAUACGGCCCAGACUCCUACGGGAGGCAGCAGUGGGGAAUAUUGCACAAUGGGCGGAAGCCUGAUGCAGCAACGCCGCGUGCGGGAUGACGGCCUUCGGGUUGUAAACCGCUUUCGCCUGUGACGAAGCGUGAGUGACGGUAAUGGGUAAAGAAGCACCGGCUAACUACGUG
rnacentral:rRNA from 1 species